rnacentral:lncRNA from 1 species
CCGUUGCCAUGGCGGCGGCCGCGGCCCUGGGCCGGGGGGCUGCGGGCAGGGGAAGCCUCGGGCCGGGCCGGGGCCGCAGCCUCGACACUGCGGCGGGUGCGGGUCACAGCGGCUGCGGGGUCUUUCAGACAGCCCGCCCAAGUUUUACAUCAAGGAUACAUCAAGGGCCCUUUCCAGCCUGCCUUGUUGGAGGUUUGAGGACCAACCACAGCCCAGGGUUCACCACAUUGAUGUGAUGAUGAUGUGAUGUGAUGAUGUGAUGUGAUGUGAUGUGAUGUGAUGUGAUGUUGGCCAGCAGUGGGGAUUUGCCAGCAGACUGCUUUGAAGUGCUCAGGAAUCGGAAUCAUCUCCUUCCCUGGAUGCAGGUGGGAGGAUGGGAUGUGUAAAUGGGUCAGUACACCUCUUGCCCCUUGGGUUGAGAAUUUUUCCUUUGUGUCAUCUCCCCUGAAGUACUCCACAUUUUUACAUUAAUAUUUUUAGGAAGAAAUUAUAAACCUUCUGUAUAUUCAUGUCAGAUAGUCCCACCUGAAGCUGCUUUCAGCAGGCACAGCAUCCUAGAAAUGUGUAGUUUGGACCAUAAAAGAGUACAGUCUUUCCUACUAAUUUUUGAUGAUAAACCUUUUUGUUUUGUGAAGUUUAUUUUGUCUGGAAUAGUUCUCUGAGCUCCCUUCCAGUUAAUUUUCCUGUCUCUGAUAUCCGUGGAUGGAGUAAAUAAUUUGAUUUUGUAGUAUCUGUUGUAUAAUCACAAGGUCAGGGCCAUGCUUCUGUUUAACUGUAAAUAUUUUUGAAACUAGAAUUGCCUCUGACAGAGAGGAGAAUACUUGGGGCAAUGCAGGCUUAAACCUUGAAUUCAGGAUUCAGAGCACCUGUGAGUAAACUAAAGGGGCACUCACUCCAGGUGUAGUCACAGGCUGCAGGCAGAAGUGGUGCCCAGGGAGGUACAUUGUCAGGCACAGUGGGCCACAGUGUUUUCCUCUACAUCGUGAAUAGUGACAGCAGAAGUAUUUUUCAUCAUUUUAAUGGAAAGAUAA